rnacentral:rRNA from 1 species
UGGGGAAUUUUGGACAAUGGGGGCAACCCUGAUCCAGCCAUGCCGCGUGCGGGAAGAAGGCCUUCGGGUUGUAAACCGCUUUUAUUCGGAAAGAAGGAGUGGAGGUUAAUAGCUUCCAUGACAGACGGUACCGGAUGAAUAAGCACCGGCUAACUACGUGCCAGCAGCCGCGGUAAUACGUAGGGUGCGAGCGUUAAUCGGAAUUACUGGGCGUAAAGCGUGCGCAGGCGGUUGGCAAAGUCAGCUGUGAAAGCCCCGGGCUUAACCUGGGAAUUGCGGUUGAAACUAGUCGACUAGAAUCUGGCAGAGGGGGGUGGAAUUCCACGUGUAGCAGUGAAAUGCGUAGAGAUGUGGAGGAACACCGAUGGCGAAGGCAGCCCCCUGGGCUGAGAUUGACGCUCAGGCACGAAAGCGUGGGGAGCAAACAGGAUUAGAUACCCUGGUAGUCCACGCCCUAAACGAUGUCAACUAGGUGUUGGGAGCGCAAGUUCUCAGUACCGCAGCUAACGCGUGAAGUUGACCGCCUGGGGAGUACGGUCGCAAGAUUAA